AACAAACGCUGGCGGCGUGUCUUAAGCAUGCAAGUUGAGCGGCAAGGAGGAGAGAUCCUCCCUAGAGCGGCGGACUGGUGAGUAACGCGUGGGUAAUCUAUCUUAGGCAUGGGGAUAGUCACUAGAAAUAGUGGGUAAUACCGAAUAAGUUCCAUAAGGGGAGGACUUAUGGAAGAAAGGUGCUACGGCACUGGCCUUAGGUGAGCUCGCGUCCCAUUAGCUAGUUGGUGAGGUAAAGGCCCACCAAGGCGAUGAUGGGUAGCCGGCCUGAGAGGGUGUACGGCCACACUGGGACUGAGAUACGGCCCAGACUCCUACGGGAGGCAGCAGCUAAGAAUAUUCCGCAAUGGACGGAAGUCUGACGGAGCGACGCCGCGUGGAUGAAGAAGGCCGAAAGGUUGUAAAGUUCUUUUGCUAGGGGAGAAUAAGUGUGGGAGGGAAUGGCCUGCACGAUGACAAGGACUAGCGAAUAAGUCCCGGCCAACUACGUGCCAGCAGCCGC
rnacentral:rRNA from 1 species